ACACUAUAGUCGAUGUAAUUGCCAUUCAAAGUGACGUUUUUUCAAAGGUUUUACUUUACCAUCGUUUUGACAUUCAACACGAUGUUAAUGAUACAAUUAUUAGUGUUUUAUGGCACUGUGAUCUCUGUGACGUCUGACAGAGCAUGUGAUGUAUGCUACUGUACAGGUAUCGAGGUAUACUGCGGUGGGUUAAAGGAAAUUCCGACAGACAUCCCAAAGAAUACAACACACCUGUACUUGUAUGCCAAUCAAAUAACAGAGAUACCACAGGCAGCAUUCUCCGAUCUGGUGAAAUUACAAACUCUGUGAGUGUAUUUUAAAUGUAUUUUUGUAGACUUAAAUAAAAU